UGAAAACGGGUGUAAAAGGGUGUCUAUAAAUUUGCGAGAAAUAUGCGAAAUGAAUACUAUAAUCGAAUAACGAUUUUUAGAAACUUCCUCGUAUGACAACAAUAAAAGUUAAUAGACUGUUUUGAUGUUUUGAUGGCCUGCGAGAGUUUCCCCGUUUAAUAACACAAAUAUUUAAAAGGCAAAUUCGAUUAGAGUAUUCAUUUCAUAUUUCUCGCAAAUUUGUAGACACCUUUAUUUAAUACGCCCUCUUCGCCACGAACACAAAAUAAACGAAUUAACUCUAUUUUCUUCUAAUUAUGAUUAACACU